rnacentral:rRNA from 1 species
UCAUCGUAGGGUUAGUCGGGUCCUAAGUCGAGUCCGAAAGGGGUAGACGAUGGCAAAUUGGUUAAUAUUCCAAUACCUAUUUACAAGCGUGAUGGAAGGACGCAUAGAGUUAAUCGAGCUCACUGAUGGAAUAGUGGGUCGAAGGAAGUAGGUUGUAUCUUAGGCAAAUCCGGGAUACAUUAGACCGAGAUCUUACAGGCCGAAUAAAGUCUUCGGAUGGCAUUCGGAAUCGAUGAUACUGUCGUGCCAAGAAAAGUUUCUAAGCAUAUUGUAAAUAGCCCGUACCGUAAACCGACACAGGUGGGUGGGAUGAGUAUUCUAAGGCGCGUGGAGGAACCCUGGUUAAGGAACUCCGCAAACUAGCACCGUAUCUUCGGUAGAAGGUGUGCCUACUUUUGUAUUAGAGAUUUACUCUCGAAAGCGAAAGAGGUUGCAACAAAGAGUCCCUCCCGA